CCUACGGGUGGCAGCAGUGGGGAAUAUUGGACAAUGGGGGGAACCCUGAUCCAGCGACGCCGCGUGAGUGAAGAAGUAUUUCGGUAUGUAAAGCUCUAUCAGCAGGGAAGAAAGAAAUGACGGUACCUGACUAAGAAGCCCCGGCUAACUACGUGCCAGCAGCCGCGGUAAUACGGAGGGGGCAAGCGUUAUCCGGAUUUACUGGGUGUAAAGGGAGCGUAGACGGUUACGCAAGUCUGGAGUGAAAGGCGGGGGCCCAACCCCCGGACUGCUUUGGAAACUGUAUAACUGGAGUGCAGGAGAGGUAAGUGGAAUUCCUAGUGUAGCGGUGAAAUGCGUAGAUAUUAGGAGGAACACCAGUGGCGAAGGCGGUCUGCUGGACAGCAACUGACGCUGAGGCGCGAAAGCGUGGGGAGCAAACAGGAUUAGAUACCCUAGUAGUC
rnacentral:rRNA from 1 species